rnacentral:rRNA from 1 species
UACGUAGGGGGCAAGCGUUGUCCGGAUUUAUUGGGCGUAAAGAGCGUGUAGGCGGCUAUACAGGUCCGCUGUGAAAACUCGAGGCUCAACCUCGAGACGUCGGUGGAAACCGUAUGGCUAGAGUCCGGAAGAGGAGAGUGGAAUUCCUGGUGUAGCGGUGAAAUGCGCAGAUAUCAGGAGGAACACCAAUUGCGAAGGCAGCUCGCUGGGACGUUACUGACGCUGAGACGCGAAAGCGUGGGGAGCAAACAGG